rnacentral:lncRNA from 1 species
CCAGCUGCCAUUCCAUGCGAUAGUGAACACAUACCUGACGUCACGAAACACGACCACCGCCGCAACAAGCCCCCACAUGGCAAUGCCGUGCACCUUCAUUUUGAUUUAACUAGAUUUUUAUGCACUAGAAUUAAGAGCUAAUCAUGAUCGAGGGAAGUAAAUGUAAAAUAUAUGGCAAUUGUGGCAAAUGGAGUUACAAGCCAAUGAUUACCCUUCUCUCUUGCCUUUUUUUCCCUCCA